UAAUAACCCAUUGGUUUGAUUUGUGCUUCACAGAAUUUCAUUAGAUUCAUAAUAAAGCCUGAUGAAAAUGCAGAACAGCUUCAAGGAUUUAGCCCUUUUUGACUUGGAUGGUGAAAGCAAACUCUAUGUUGUUGAUUCGAUAAACAAUUUGCACAGGGCAAAUACUUGUGAAGAUCCGUAUGACCCAUCUUCAAAGUCAGCAGAAUGUGACAGCGUUGCUGAAGAAACUGAAGUGCCCACGAAGGAGUUGUUGAAAGAUAAUGGAAAGAAGGAACCUAAAGCUGGUAUGAGGCACAACAAUUCAAAAUGGU